rnacentral:tRNA from 1 species
GGUAUUAUACUUUAUAUAGAAGAUAUGAUUUGCAAUCAUAAAGAAAGACAACUCUUUUAUACCA